UCUCCCCCCCACCCAUUCAUAUCCCCCCUUCCCUUCCCCCUCUGCUCAUGUCACCCCUUCCCCUUGUCCCCCUGCUUAUGUUCACCCUGCCCAGGCCUUACAGUCUUUCUUUCCAGAACUGCUCCCUCUGGUCGUGCGUUUUUCUGGGGGGAUUUAAGGGAGAAGAAGAGAGGGCAGGUUGGGAGGCUAUGUCCUGUAGGUGAUGGUUGAGAAUCCCAACCAAAGGAAGGCUCCCUGGGUGGACAGACGGAACUCCGGGCAGGAGGUGACAUCCCCUUCACACUGUGGUGUCUCUUGGGGAGGGAUCUCCCCCAAUCUCAAUAAACCAGUGCACAGUGUGACUCAUCAGCUCAUCCCUUACUGAGAACACACUGGGCUUCAGUCCCAGGAGGGGAACUCGGGGGGCUCCAUGCUGGUGAAAAGGCCCCACAGCAGAGGGGUGGGAGGAAGGUUUUGUUGGUCCACUGAGGGCCUCUCAAAGCAGGACAGGAUUGGGCCGGGACCAGUCAGUGAUACUUUAGCCCGUAACUGUGGGGGCUCUGGAGUCGCGGCAGAGCGACGUGUAGGGAGAGAGUG